AUUGAGUUUGAUCCUGGCUCAGGAUGAACGUUGGCGGCGUGCUUAACACAUGCAAGUCGAACGGGUGUAGCAAUACAUCAGUGGCAGACGGGUGAGUAACACGUGGGAACCUUCCUAGAGGUACGGAACAACGCAGGGAAACUUGCGCUAAUACCGUAUACGCUCUUGCGAGGAAAGAUUUAUCGCCUUUAGACGGGCCCGCGUCGGAUUAGCUAGUUGGUAAGGUAACGGCUUACCAAGGCGACGAUCCGUAGCUGAUCUGAGAGGAUGAUCAGCCACACUGGGACUGAGACACGGCCCAGACUCCUACGGGAGGCAGCAGUGGGGAAUCUUGGACAAUGGGCGCAAGCCUGAUCCAGCCAUGCCGCGUGAGUGAAGAAGGCCUUCGGGUUGUAAAGCUCUUUUGUCAGGGACGAUAAUGACGGUACCUGAAGAAUAAGCCCCGGCAAACUUCGUGCCAGCAGCCGCGGUAAAUC
rnacentral:rRNA from 1 species